AUGGUUUCCGUACGGCCGAUUUGCCGAAUAAUAUGCAAUUAAUUGAAAUAAAUAGUUUUGUCCAGUAAAACUCGUUACAUUUCCUUGGUUACGGCUACAACAUAUUUGGGCGACGCGGAUCUCAAAUACGCUAUCCUUCAGCUUACAAACCUCAUCACGAGACAGCAGUAGCAACUUGAAGCGACAAGCGGAAUCCAAGGUUUUCAAUAUGACUCGGAUGGAGGAAUUUUCUUCGAUGUUUGGUACGCAAGAUACGAGGACGUCAUUGCACAGGAUGAACAAAACCUAGACGACGCCCGCCCGUGUGAGGUUACCUCUUCGCAAGUUAAGCAGUAAGCACGCCUUUGGACGAUAAGUUGAAGAAACUGUUCGGGCGACAGAAGUUGAUCUUUCAUUCCCGGUACCAGUACACGAAAAACGAUACAGACCACUUCGUAUGCUGCCAUGGUGAAUAAACACUGUGAAGCGUUUCAACUUUCGAAGCUUACCCCGGAUCAAUUCAAAUGGCCCGUUUCGUCUGUGGACUCCAAUCGCCACGGGAUACGGCCAUUCGAACACGAUUGAUCUCGAAGCUGAAACCGACGAAACCGCAGUCAACGAACUAGGAGAAAUUUUACAAGAAACAACCCCUGUAGAAAGUUAACCCUGUAGAAUCUCGUGGAAGAAUAUCCAGAUGUCCAGAUGUAACCAGGAGCCUUGUAGGAAGAAUUUCAAAAUUUCCAAAAACGCCUUGCUGGAAGUGUGUUGACCAGUGCUAGGUUCGUUCACAUCUGCGGUCACUGCUUCUGGUGGCAACCUCAAUCUUCGCGCCGAGUUCCCAACAGAAAUCACUAUCAGUGACGUGACCAAAGCCGGUCGCAUUUUUAUCUCAGAUAGCGACGAACUCAUCGUUCUGGGAAUAGAAACCUUGGUUCUGUUCGGUCUGUGGUCUGUGCCUAUAAGCAGUUUGGUCAACACUGUUCAUCAUCGUCCGGAACAAUACGUUAGUCAGCUCAAGAAUUAUUUUCCCGAGGUAUAUCAAACCACAUUGGGUAGAUGCACGUCCUACAUACUGCCUAAAACGACCAGUGGCGUACGCUUCACUUCCCAAGGUAGACGCAGAACUCCCGGUAUACACUGCGAACUGCCUGCAGCGCUGGGCCUUGAUAUUGCUGCUAAAUAUUUCGACAGCCAACUUCGGGUAUGCAGAUUUCCUAUCCCGAUUAAUAUAAUAACGGGUAUGUCUUUCCGCACGGCUAAGGAGGGCCCGAAUUCGAAUCGUCAUACCCUUCAAAUUCCAUUCGUCAAUUUCAUCGUGGACACCCAGGAUUUUACCGCAUGAAAGCUCUGGCCCGCAGUUACAUCUACCGGUCGCUAGAUUUGUUCGUCACUGCAAAGCGUGUGCUGAUGCAGGAAAGUCUCCAAUAAAAAAACAUUGGAAUCGUGGCAUUUCGCAAUCAAGGCAUGGCAACGUGUCCACAUUGAUUUUGCUGGCCCAAUCGAUGGACACUACUAUUUCGUCAUCGUUGAUGAUUACUCCGAAUGGCCUGAAAUUUUCCGCACUCGAUCCAUCACAACAUCUACAACUUUGGAUAUGCUGUGUGAGACAUUUUCCCGUUUCGGUAAUCCUGAUAUUUUGGUUUCGGAUAAUGGCACGCAAUUCACCAGCGAGCAGUUUCAGAUGUUCUGCUGUGAAAAUGGUAUUACCCAUAUCCGUGUUGCUUCUUACUAUCCACAGUCCAACGGCCAAGCAAAACGUUUCGUCGAUUCCCUCAAGCGUGGCUUCAAAAAGCAAGGUAAGGAGGAAGCUUCACCUAGAUUAGAGCAUUUGCACACAUUCCUUUCAGUUGGGCUUAUUCUACGAGUGGAGUGACGUGAGAUUGCUCGAAUGACGUGAGAAGAGUCGUAUAGCCCCAUUUGAAUAACAUGGUCACCUCACGUGAGAAUUGCUAAAAUCGACUCACCUCACGUCACUCGACUCGUAGGAUAAGACCAACUUGUGUAUCACUUCACUCUAAAUCGGAAUACACUGAAAUCAAGGUCUUUAGGAAUGUUCAGCAAAAUUAGGAACUACUCCUGCGGAACUUCAAAUGAAUAUCAUGAUUCAGAAGAAUAUGCCGUGGAACCCCCAAAGAAUUAUUUUUUGGCCUAGUUCUUCAAACCAUGGCGUUCUUUCAGUUUUUCGGAUUAAAGUGUAGGUAUUAAAAAUUGCUCACAUGUAAGAUCCGUUAGUUUGCGACGAGAAAUAACAAAUAGUAUACAUCUGUAAUCGGGGCCUACAUUUAAAUAAUUUGUUUUGAAAUGUUCAUGGGCUGGGUUCUUAAGCAAAAAAGGCUGAAACAGCUAUAACGUCAACUAAAACGCUACUAUCGUGGCAAUUGCUCAUCGCAUCCUUUCCCUAUUAUUAAUCCUAUAAUAGUAAACAAUGCAGUGUAAUAGCGACUGUAAUGUGAUUCAUUCAAACAAUAAAUAGAAAUAACAUCAUACAUAAUAACACAAUUAUUAUCAGAAACUAGUAGAGAAGCACUUUUUUCGAUUAGUCAAUCAAAAUAAGAAAUAUGAAAUAGAUUAUCACUGAUGUUAGGUAGUCGUAGGGUUACUGAUGGUAUUUCCGGCAGGGUCCAGGUCCCGACACAGACUCAAAAACCAAGGAUAGAAACAUUAUUUAGGCAAAACUCCUCCGUAAUCGUGUGUGCACAAUUGCGGCUUCAGAGGGGCGUCCCGAAGCGCAAUAGCCUGCCGAUACCCUAUUUAGGAGAAAAAAAACACUCUUCUAGUUCUGCUCUAUUUGAAAACUUUGAGACAAAUAAAACGAUUAGCACAACAUUUUCAGAUGGUGUAAAUAAAAAAACUCUUUCUAUAGCUCAAUAAGUUGACCAAUGAUCAUCCAUAUAUGUAGCAUUGUGUAUAUUUGUAUUUUUAUUUCAAAUAAAUGUGAAUAUUAUCUACUUUUCCAUUCUACGUAUGUAAUUGUACCACAUUUUACUGUAACUUUACACUUUACUCUAGAUUUGAAUUGUUUAAAAGUUUAACUUUACAUAUUGUAUAUUUUACCAUUUCUGUAAUGAAUGUAUCGAAAAGGCAAGGCGCAAGUAUAAUUAUAAUUAUUAUUCUGUUAACAAA